rnacentral:lncRNA from 1 species
AACAUUUCCUUGUACAUAUACACCCUGUUUUGUUUCUCAUUCAUCUGUCAAUGGACACUAGGGUGGUUUCCACAUUUUGGCUACUGGGACUAAUGCUGCUAUGAAUAUGGAUGUGGAAGCUUACUCUUUCCUGGAAAAUUUCAGUCCAGUUGUGCGGUCUUGAAAUAGUCCUGACACUGAGUUGGGUGGAGGUACAGUGCAUGGCAAAUAGAAAAGUCCAACUGGCAGAAUGCAAAUGGUUAAAAUUCUGGCUGGAACUUUUAUUAACUUGGUUUCCCUCUCACCCUUUUUUUUUUUUUUUUUUUUUUUCCUUCAGGGCAGACCUCUUCCUGCAAUCGAGUUCAGCUCUUAGAACCCCCCAUGGGUGGCUGAUGGACAAAGCAAUAAAGCUGACUGCAUCCUGCUCCUUCCCAUGCCGUGGGGCCCUUUGCUGCUGGGGACCUGAAAGUAUUACAAAGCUCCCUGUGGAAGAGGUAGAGUCAGCAAUGGAAGCAGUUUGGGUCUGGAUGUGGAAGCUGCCUGCCCACUCGGCACACCCACGUUGGACGAUUAGCUGCAGGCUCCCCACCCUAUGA